rnacentral:lncRNA from 1 species
GGCCUCGUUUCCAUGCCCACCCGCUGAGGGAGCGGCGGGGCCGCAAGGCCUAGUGGCAUGGCCGCCUCUUCCCCGUCCAGCCUCGGGGGCCCUGUCCCCAAGGGCUCUGCUCCGCGCUCCUGCGGCGCUUCUCGGGCCUCCGGGAGACCUGAUGCCGCAGGGUCAGGCGUGCGAGGAGAGCAGUUUCCUUGUUUACUCUGCCAUGCAUGA